rnacentral:rRNA from 1 species
UACGAAGGGGCUAGCGUUGCUCGGAAUCACUGGGCGUAAAGGGUGCGUAGGCGGGUCUUUAAGUCAGGGUGAAAUCCUGGAGCUCAACUCCAGAACUGCCUUUGAUACUGAAGAUCUUGAGUUCGGGAGAGGUGAGUGGAACUGCGAGUGUAGAGGUGAAAUUCGUAGAUAUUCGCAAGAACACCAAUGGCGAAGGCAGCUCGCUGGGACGGUACUGACGCUGAGACGCGAAAGCGUGGGGAGCAAACAGG